rnacentral:lncRNA from 1 species
GAUGACAUUGGAGUUUGACAAGGAGGUAGCUUUUGGAAUUCUCCGCUUUAUCAGUACUUACAGGAUCCGGGACACACAGACUUUGAAAUAUGUUCUUUGUCACCAAAAACAGAAAAAUGCGCCACGGAGGGACAACAAAAGCCUCCUACAAGAGUCCUACCAAUAAGCAACGCAUUCUGUUAAAAGUGGCUAAAACCACCAGAAGUUGGGUUUUUUCUCAGCGCAGUAAGAAAGAUGACUUACUUCACAAGUUGGAUAUUGGAUUCCGACUCAACUCAUUACAUACCAUCCUGCAACAGGAAGUCCUGUUUCAAGAGGAUGUGGAGCUCACUGAGCUACUUGAUUCCAGUAUCCUGUAAGCAGGACAACCUCAACAACAGGAAAGUGGACACCUUCCAACACUUUGCUCCCUGGCAACCCCUAAUAUUUGGGAUGUCUCAAUGCUAUUUGCCUUCAUUAGUUUGCUCGUUAUGCUUCCUGCUUGGUGGAUGUUAUCUUCCUGGCUGGUAUGGGGAGUGAUUCUAUUUGUUUAUUUGGUCAUAAGAGCUUUGAGAGUAUGGAGGACAGCUAAACUACAAGUGACCUGAAAAAAAUACAAUGUUCACUUGGAAGAUAUGGCAGCAAAUAGCUGAGCUUUUACUAACCUUGUAAGAAAAGCUUUACAUCUCAUUCAAGAAACUGAAGUGAUUUCCAGAGGAUUUAUACCAUUUAAUAAAGCUGGAUGGCAUCCCACUCAGUACCUCAUCAGUCUCUGGAAAGCUGUCUACAGAACUUCCAAGCAGCAAGGCUAUCUAUCCUAUAGAUGCUGAAAAACUACCCCCUGAACUCUGAAAGUGACAAUGCAACCAGCUAUAUCUGUGUCGUGCCUUUUAAGGAGCUGGGCCUUGGACUUAGUGAAGAGUAGAUUUCAGAAGAGGAAGCACCUAACUUUACAGAUGACUUUAGCCUGCCUACAUUGAAGGUUUUGUUCCAACUCUGGAUGGCAGCGUUCAGAAUUCUACAGAUGGUUAGUCUUAUUACUUCCUACAGCCAAUUCACCUCCUGGGCCCUUACUUACUUCAGCACUUUUGCCUCAUCAUAUGUUAUCUGAUUUGACUCAAGGUCUACCUCAUGCUUACUAUGCCUGUUUGGAAGAGCUUAAGAGCAACUCUGAAUUCUAUCAGUACUUUGAAACUCAGCACCAGUCAGUACCAGUGUUUAUCCAAAACUCAACAGAAGUCAAAAGAACUGAAUAACGUUCACACAGCAGUGUACAACUUGCAGCUCCAUGUGAAAGCAUUACUGAAUAAGGUAAUAAUUCUCGAAGAUAAAUUUGAAAAGCUUUUUUGUAUUAAAGAAACAAGAACAGUGUCAGAGGCUUAUCAAAUCCUAGAACAGAAAUUAAAGUUGAUUCAGCCCCAUGUUUAAACUAGCAACAAUUGCUGGGAAGAGGCCAUUUCUCAGGUGGACAAACUGCUAUGAAGAAAUACAGAUUUAAAAAAGGCAAGCCUGAGGUAGUGUGUGAAAACCCAUACUGUACAGUGGUAACUUUGAUGCAGCCUACUCUACACAUUGCCGACAAAGAUCCACUCCCUGAGGAGGAUGAAUAGGACUUAGAAGCUUAUGUAGAUGAUAUAGAUAUUGACAGUGAUUGCAGAAAGGAUGAUUUUUAUUACUUGUCUCAGGAAGACAAAGAAAGACAGAAGCACGAGCAUGAAGAAUCCAAGAGGGUGCUCUAAGAAUUAAAAUCUGUGCUGGGAUUUAAAGCUUCAGAGGCAGAAAGGCAGAAGUGGUUAUAACUUCUACUUAGUGAUCAUGCUGUGUUGAAAUCCUUGUCUCCUGUAAACCUAGUGGAACCCACAAGUAAUUCAGAACCAUCAAUGAAUUCAGAUACAGGAAAAUUCAGUAAAAAUGAUACUGAAGAGGAAAAUAGUAAACACUCCACAAGUGACAAUGAAGUAAGUAAGACUGAGUAUUUAUGUGAAGACUCUCUAGAGCAUCUAGAGGGUAAAAAUAAAGACAAUUCUGCAAAUGAAGUCUUCCUCCAAGGAGAGAAGACAGAAUGUGUUACCAAUGUGAGGGCGAAGAUGAAUCUCAAGCAGAUGGAGGCGUUCUGGCCACUACCCCUCCAUCUCCCAGGGAGUCCUUACAGACUUCCAUUCAGCAGAGGCUGGCACAGCUACAGCUGUCACUGAAUUUUACCUUCACUGAUGGCUUUGCUGUAGAAGUGGCUGCUAGAUCUCUCUCCUUUACCACCAUGCAGGAAGAUAAUUUUUGUGAUGAGGAGGAAGAACAAAUGAGGUAGAAGAAAAGUAAGAAC